UACGUAGGGCGCAAGCGUUGUCCGGAUUCACUGGGUGUAAAGGGUGCGUAGGCGGGUGAGUAAGUCCGCGGUGAAAUCUCACGGCUCAACCGUGAAACUGCCGUUGAUACUGCUUUUCUUGAGUUCGGGAGAGGUUGAUGGAAUUCCAGGUGUAGCGGUGAAAUGCGUAGAUAUCUGGAAGAACACCAGUGGCGAAGGCGGUCAACUGGCCCGAAACUGACGCUGAGGCACGAAAGCGUGGGGAGCGAACAGG
rnacentral:rRNA from 1 species